rnacentral:rRNA from 1 species
AGCAGUGGGGAAUAUUGGACAAUGGGGGGAACCCUGAUCCAGCCAUGCCGCGUGUGUGAAGAAGGCCUUUUGGUUGUAAAGCACUUUAAGCGAGGAGGAGGCUCUUAUAGUUAAUACCUAGGAUGAGUGGACGUUACUCGCAGAAUAAGCACCGGCUAACUCUGUGCCAGCAGCCGCGGUAAUACAGAGGGUGCGAGCGUUAAUCGGAUUUACUGGGCGUAAAGCGUACGUAGGCGGCUUUUUAAGUCGGAUGUGAAAUCCCUGAGCUUAACUUAGGAAUUGCAUUCGAUACUGGGAAGCUAGAGUAUGGGAGAGGAUGGUAGAAUUCCAGGUGUAGCGGUGAAAUGCGUAGAGAUCUGGAGGAAUACCGAUGGCGAAGGCAGCCAUCUGGCCUAAUACUGACGCUGAGGUACGAAAGCAUGGGGAGCAAACAGGAUUAGAUACCCUGGUAGUCCAUGCCGUAAACGAUGUCUACUAGCCGUUGGGGCCUUUGAGGCUUUAGUGGCGCAGCUAACGCGAUAAGUAGACC